UACGUAGGGGGCUAGCGUUGUCCGGAAUCAUUGGGCGUAAAGGGCGCGUAGGUGGCCCGGUCAGUUCGUGGUGAAAGCGCGGGGCUCAACCCUGCGUCGGCCAUGAAUACUGCCGCGGCUGGAGCACUGUAGAGGCAGGCGGAAUUCCGGGUGUAGCGGUGGAAUGCGUAGAGAUCCGGAAGAACACCGGUGGCGAAGGCGGCCUGCUGGGCAGUUGCUGACACUGAGGCGCGACAGCGUGGGGAGCAAACAGG
rnacentral:rRNA from 1 species